CGUUACGUCCCUACCGCCCGUUAUUGCCUCAUCGAAAACGGGGAAAGCGAUAGUCCAGCCCACCCAGCGAACGGGCACAAGAGUAAGACCAGGUUAAUCAAUCCCACGGAAAAGUUCAAAUGGAGGAGUCGAAGACUGAGAUCAAAGGCUCUUCUUCAGAAAGAGAACCAAAAUCGCCCAAUAUUUUUGAGAGAGCGAAAGAAGAGAUAGAGGCUGUGAUCCACUGUAAUAAAUCCCCACGGCAUCACAAAGAAACACAUGGAAGAAGCGAUGAUAUUGACGAGACUACGCCUGCUGAUGAAGUAAAGGCCCCCGGAGUGUUUGGAAGAGUCAAGGAAGAGGUUGAGGCCCUCGUAGGAGCAAUUCAUCCCAAGAAGGAUUCUGGUAGUCAUUAGUUUCUUUAAAGCAAGGAAGAGGUUGACUCCAUGCUGUAAUAAGGUUUGCUUUCUUUUUUAGAUUCUUAGUUUCUUUUUAUUAUGCAACUCCAUGUCAUCUACCUUGUUCUUUGAAAACAUUAGCCGGAAAAUAACUGUUUGAAGAUUGACAUGAAAAUUGGACUAUGUUUGAUCUGUCUUGCAUUCUGUUUAAAGUAUGUAAUCAGCAUAGAAAGACCAUCUUGUAUCUUUGCAUUCCGAACUUUGUAUCUUAAGCUAUAGUCUCUUUUCAUUAUAUCAAUGAAAAGUUUGUUUCAGUAAAAAAAAAUAAAAA